AGUGAACGCUGGCGGUAGGCCUAACACAUGCAAGUCGAACGGCAGCACAGUAAGAGCUUGCUCUUACGGGUGGCGAGUGGCGGACGGGUGAGGAAUACAUCGGAAUCUACUUUUUCGUGGGGGAAAACGUGGGGAAACUAACGCAAUUACGCCAAACGCCCUACGGGUAAAACCAGGGACUCUCCGACCUUCGCCCGUUUGAUUGACCCGAUGUCGGAUUAGCUAGUUGGCGGGGUAAAGGCCCACCAAGGCGACGAUCCGUAGCUGGUCUGAGAGGAUGAUCAGCCACACUGGAACUGAGACACGGUCCAGACUCCUACGGGAGGCAGCAGUGGGGAAUAUUGGACAAUGGGCGCAAGCCUGAUCCAGCCAUACCGCGUGGGUGAAGAAGGCCUUCGGGUUGUAAAGCCCUUUUGUUGGGAAAGAAAAGCAGCAGGUUAAUACCCCGCUGUUCUGACGGUACCCAAAGAAUAAGCACCGGCUAACUUCGUG
rnacentral:rRNA from 1 species